AGAGUUUGAUCCUGGCUCAGGACGAACGCUGGCGGCGUGCCUAACACAUGCAAGUCGAGCGGGGAGAGCCUUUCGGGGUUCUUCCAGCGGCGGACGGGUGAGUAACGCGUGAGCAACCUUUCCUUCACAGGGGGAUAACGCAGCGAAAGCUGUGCUAAUACCGCUUAAGACCACAAUGCCGCAUGGCGAAGGGGUCAAAGGAGCAAUCCGGUGAAGGGUGGGCUCGCGUCUGAUUAGCUAGUUGGCGGGGUAAUGGCCCACCAAGGCAACGAUCAGUAGCCGACCUGAGAGGGUGAUCGGCCACACUGGGACUGAGACACGGCCCAGACUCCUACGGGAGGCAGCAGUGGGGAAUAUUGGGCAAUGGGGGAAACCCUGACCCAGCAACGCCGCGUGAGGGAAGAAGGUUUUCGGAUCGUAAACCUCUGUCCUCAGGGACGAAGAAAUGACGGUACCUGAGGAGGAAGCCCCGGCUAACUACGUGCCAGCAGCCGCGGUAAUACGUAGGGGGCAAGCGUUGUCCGGAAUGAUUGGGCGUAAAGGGCGCGUA
rnacentral:rRNA from 1 species